AUGCUUUCACAACUUGACUUCAAAAUAUUUGGUUUGGAGACCAUCAAAGAUCAAUAUGUGCAUGAUGCUGAUUUUAAAGAUGUAAUGCAUAAUUGUAAAGAAGGAAGAAUGUGGAACAAGUUUGUUGUUAAUGAUGGAUUUGUGUUUCGUGCUAACAAGCUAUGCAUUCCAGCUAGCUCCGUUCGUCUUUUGUUGUUGCAGGAGGCGCAUGGAGGAGGAUUAAUGGGACACUUUGGCGUGAAGAAGACGGAGGACGUACUUGCUACACAUUUCUUUUGGCCAAAGAUGAGACGGGAUGUUGAGCGGGCUGUUUUGAAGAAUAAUAAGAAAAUGUGGGAAGAAUGCUUGCCUCAUAUUGAGUUUGCUUAUAAUCGUUCAUUGCAUUCUACUACGAAGAUGUGCCCUUUUGAAAUUGUGUAUGGUUUCCUACCUCGUGCACCUAUUGAUUUGUUGCCUCUUCCAUCUUCGGAGAAGGUUAAUUUUGAUGCUAAACAACGUGCUGAAUUGAUCUUAAAAAUGCAUGAGUUAACUAAGGAAAACAUUGAGCGUAUGAAUGCUAAAUAUAAACUUGCUGGAGAUAAGGGUAGAAAACAUGUUGUGUUUGCACCUGGAGAUCUUGUUUGGUUACAUUUGCGUAAGGAUAGAUUUCCUGAUUUGCGCAAAUCAAAGCUAAUGCCACGUGCUGAUGGUCCUUUUAAGGUGUUAGAGAAAAUAAAUGAUAAUGCAUAUAAACUUGAGCUGCCUGCAGAUUUUGGGGUUAGUCCCACUUUUAACAUUGCAGAUUUGAAGCCUUAUUUGGGUGAGGAAGAUGAGCUUCCGUCGAGGACGACUUCAUUUCAAGAAGGGGAGGAUGAUGAGGACAUCAAUACCAUUGUUACACCCACAGCCCCUGCUGCUAUACAUACUGGACCAGUUACUAGAGCUCGCGCACGCCAAUUAAAUUACCAGGAAACAGACCCUCGUGGUCAGGUUGAUCGUGCUCCGGCGUGGUCGUUAACCUCUCGGAGUUGGUUUAGCGAUUGCUAA
rnacentral:rRNA from 1 species